GACGAACGCUGGCGGCGUGCUUAACACAUGCAAGUCGAACGGGUCUGCCCUGUUUUUUGCGGGGUGGGUCAGUGGCGAACGGGUGAGUAACACGUGAGUAACCUGCCCCUCACUUCUGGAUAACCGCUUGAAAGGGUGGCUAAUCCGGGGUGUUCUGGCUGUGCCGCAUGGUGGGGCUGGGAAAGAUUCACUUUUGGGGUGUUUUGGUGGGGGAUGGGCUCGCGGCCUAGCUGCUUGUUGGGGGGGUGAUGGCCUGCCAGGGCUUUGACGGGUAGCCGGCCUGGGAGGGUGGGCGGUCAGACUGGGUCUGAGAUACGGUCCGGACUGCUGCGGGGGGCAGCAGUGGGGGGUAUUGCACAGUGGGCGGAAGCCUGAUGCAGCGACGUCGCGUGAGGGAUGGAGGCCUUCGGGUUGUGAACCUCUUUCGCCGGUGAAGAAGGUCCUGCUCUUUGUGGUGGGGUUGACGGUAGCCGGGUUAUGAAGCGCCGGCUAACUACGUG
rnacentral:rRNA from 1 species